rnacentral:lncRNA from 1 species
AGUAAAUUCAUUCGAAGUAGAAAAGGGAUCUUACAUCAAAUAAGGCAUUACAACAAACAUGGUGUUAUCUUAGUAAAAGAAAUUACAUCAUUAGAAGAGAAAAGGGAAGAAAACCAAACAUGAGGUUGAGAUUAAUACAUCUAGGAGGAGGUCGUAGACAUCACUUUGAUCAUGACAUCACUGUGAUCAUUUUGCGGCCUGGGGAGCAAGGAUCCAUGGUUUUUAUAUGCCUUGUCCGGCUGCUGGAGUUGAUGACAUGGAAACGUCAUCUCUACCAUCUCGAUGGCUUAGACCCAGGGAGCCGGAUGUUCAUCUCAGCCCUCCCCAGCUUCCAUCAAUGGAUUUUUAUAGUCAGGGUUAAAGACUGAGAGGCCCUAUGCAUGUUCACAAAAACACAAUUUUGACAAAUUAUCUCUAUUGUAAAAUUGAGGGAGUAACUCAUUAUUCGAGAGAACUGGUCGUACAUGAAGCAUCAAGAACACACGUGCAAAAAUCUAAUUCUAACUGAAUUUAGCUUUCAGUUGGCAUUUCCUCAAACAAUCAAGUGCACCUAUUAUUAUUUGGCUGACAAAAAUAUGAACACCAAACAUGCCAUCAUCAUUAAGCAAUUCAAGGAUGUCUAUGAAUCGGACAUGAAAUAUUUGGAGCAUGGAAUAAAAAACAGCACACUGUCUUCUGGCGUAGAUGCACAAUAGAUGCACUCCUUCAAAUAGAGAUCAAUUUUCAGCUGAAACGAUAGAUGCACUCUUUCAAAUAUGCAUCAUAGUAGGUCCUACAAAAAUCACGAGAAAUUAGAGGAUGCAACUUGAUGACUGCCUUCUAUAUCAUUUGGAGGACAAAAGAAGCUAGAAAAAUUGUGAUGAACCACCAAUCCCUGUUAAAAGUAACUAUCAUUCCCCUUUGAUAUAUGGAUAUAUCAAUCAAGAGAGAGAGUGGGGGGGUUAUACCAGGAAACACUUUGCAAACAUAAGCUUUUAAACUGGUAGUCAACUUACUGUCAACAUGUAAGGUUGCCUCAUUUCUGAAAAACACAAAUCCACCCUAAAUUUUCACAUGAAUAAAAUGUAGAUUUUCUCUUCUAUCAAGAUAUUACAUGUCUGGUAUCUUCUUGUAGGAACUGCUACCAUCAUUUGCUUCUUCUCACAAAGAAUUCAAUCCAUAGUAU